UUUUCCCUCUUUCCCUCAUUUCAAAAUCGUUCUCUCCUUCUCUCUGCUCUCUUUUUCUUGAAACCCUAAAUCUUUAGCCGAGUCACCUCUCAUCUCCAAGGCGGAACGCUCACCCCACCUCACAACUUCACCACUAAAAUGCAACGAUACCUUUUUCAAACUUGUCACCGCCACCGGAUCUGCAACAAUCUGCAACAAUCACCUCGCCAAACAUCCGAAUUUAAUAGGGUAGAAUUUCUCAAGUAUGGUGUAACGCCAACAAUUGGUGGUUUGAUGGAAUAGUAAGUAUUGACAUUGAGUUUGUUUGAUAGUCAAGUUUUGGUUAUAUUUUGGAUUGUACUUAAUGCAGGUCUAAGAUUUGACGAAGCUACUUGGCCUUCUUUAUCAGCUGAUGCAAAAAUGAUUUUUCUGUAAAAAGGCUGCUGAAUAGAGAUUUUUGUAAAAGAUUAACUGCAUCUCAGGCUCUCAUUUUGUGUUCUCUUUUCUGUUGGUUGUCGUGGUAUUAAAAUUUCUCAUCUCAUAAUUCGAUGAACUUUCUAGAUUAUAACUUGAUUUUAUGCUUAGGUCAUCCAUGGAAUACAUUACAAUAAUGCAUAUGCAAUAUCUGUCCAAAAAAAUGGCCUCAAUAUAAAUGUUAGAAAACUAACCAAAGAUAUCACUAGCAUAUGUACUGAGACACGCAUACUACGAUAUUGCUUUCGGUGUUUCCUAACAAAUUCUAGCUCUUUUUAAGAACACCAAUCUAUCAAAGCCCGUGCAUAAUGUGUGAAACUGGUAAGUUACUAGCAUAAUAUUGCACUAGCAUACAUCACACUAAUUCUCAAGCUCCUGGAAGUAGAGAUCAUCACUAAAUUAAUUUCUAUAACAGUCAAUUGAUAGGCUUUCUUUAGUUCAUGGAGUUCUUGAAGUUGUAGACAUUGGCUACACUAGGAAGGUUGCUGCAAUUUCUGUUUGCAAAUGAAAAGAUACGAGUUGAUUCUCUAUGGAGAUGAAUUCUACAACGGGAACAAGACUUUCGUAUAUGGUGUUCUUUACUGUUAUGAAGUUGAGAAACUGGAAUGGAAACUGAUUUCGAGUCCUAAUAUGUCAUCCUCCCCGCAGUGCGCAUUAGGCUGUUGCUUGGAAGAAUUAUGUUUAUAUUUUUUGGUGGUGAAUUUACAUCUCCAAAUCAAGAGAGGUUCCAUCACUACAAGGUUAAAGCUGCACUGCGUUGCUUCUGUUUGUGAUUAAGGAAAGUAUGAUUUCCUUUACUAAUUUUGACUGUUUGGAGAUGUUGCUUUUGAAUUUUGAUUGCCAUGUGCUUAGGCCAUGCAGCCACAAUAAGGCUGAUGUUCUGGAAAGGGGAAGCUGAACAAUGUGUGUGCAAUAUCCUUUACCCAUAUUUGGACUAUGUCUAUUUAUUGAUAAAAGUUGACCUCAAAUUGGAGCAGUGUUGCCCAUAGCGGGGAGCCAAAAUCCUGACAUACCGAACGCUUUGCGAUGCCGAUAUAGCGGAUUAUGGUGGACAAACUCGCAAUAUCGUCCAAUAUUUACCAUUGGGGUAAGCUCAAAAACCGCUACGUAAAGACUCCAUAUUGCCGCAAUUGCGGAUAUUUGAUAACACUUAAUUGGAGGGUCUUUUGCAAGGCCUCACCUGUUGGAAUGUAGGAUCACUGUCAAGACAUGUGAUAACUCUCAAUGUUCUGCAUGAUAACUAUUAAAUUUAUGUAAUAAUAGCUCUAUUAAUUUUAGGUCUAUAGCCAUUGUAUAAUAUGUUUUAAGUGAGUUAUGUCAAUGAGUAUUUUAUGUGGGAAUGCAAUAAAGAUA